rnacentral:tRNA from 1 species
GAUGGAGUGGCAGAUUGAGAAUGCACUGAAUUGUAAAUUCAGGUUAUGGAGGUUCAAAUCCUUUUUUUAUCA